CUCUGGUUGAUCCUGCCAGAGGCCACUGCUAUCAGAGUUCGAUUAAGCCAUGCGAGUUGAGAGGUGCAAGACCUCGGCAUACUGCUCAGUAACACGUGGACAACCUAACCUACAGAAGGGGAUAACCCCGGGAAACUGGGGAUAAUACCCUAUAGACUAUGGAUGCUGGAAUGCUCUGUAGCCGAAAGGUCCGCCGCUGUAGGAUGGGUCUGCGGCCGAUUAGGUUGUUGUUGGGGUAACGGCCCAACAAGCCUGUAAUCGGUACGGGUUGUGGGAGCAAGAGCCCGGAGAUGGAUUCUGAGACACGAAUCCAGGCCCUACGGGGCGCAGCAGGCGCGAAAACUUUACAAUGCGGGAAACCGUGAUAAGGGAACUCCGAGUGCCCGUAAAAUCGGGCUGUCCAUCUGUUUAAAUAACAGGUGAAGAAAGGGCCGGGCAAGACCGGUGCCAGCCGCCGCGGUAAUACCGGCGGCUCGAGUGGUGGCCACUAUUACUGGGCUUAAAGCGUUCGUAGCUGGUCUGUUAAGUCUCUGGGGAAAUCUACUGGCUUAACCAAUAGGCGUCUCAGGGAUACUGGCAGACUAGGGACCGGGAGAGGUGAGAGGUACUCCAGGGGUAGGAGUGAAAUCCUGUAAUCCUUGGGGGACCACCUGUGGCGAAGGCGUCUCACCAGAACGGCUCCGACAGUGAGGGACGAAAGCUGGGGGAGCAAACCGGAUUAGAUACCCGGGUAGUCCCAGCCGUAAACGAUGCGCGUUAGGUGUAUCGGUGACCACGAGUCACCGAGGUGCCGAAGAGAAAUCGUGAAACGUGCCGCCUGGGAAGUACGGUCGCAAGGCUGAAACUUAAAGGAAUUGGCGG
rnacentral:rRNA from 1 species